GACUGAACAGAGACAUGACGGACCCACUGCAUGUGCACAUGAUGUGGUGAGGAGGAGGAGGAUCGCUGAGACUACACCAGGGGGCAUCCUGCAAGCCGUGGCAGAAUAAUCACACACCCAGUGCAGAGCGGCGUCAGUCUGCAGAAAGCACCAAUGACACUGCACGGUUAUGGCGCAGUUGACAUGAGAGAAAUCCAUCUGCUGUCAGGAGAUAAGAGCAUAUCUGUGUCAUGACCGUCGUCCACUGCAGUGCUGCAAAACACAGCUGGGAGCGUGUUCUGUGCAGCUCUAUGCGGGGACUUGAUUGUACCUCUGAGAUAUUGAAUAAUGAAUAAGAUCAAGUCAAGAAAAAGCCCGACAAACAUCCACGGAGGAACAGCUUUCACGCAGAAAGAAUGCCCUCUGGUGGAAUUGCUGCUGCAACACUAGAAGAAAUGACUGGAGAAACAUGGAAGAUGAAGAGCUUAUAUCUUCCUCACAGAUAUUUGUUGACAAUGGUUUCAGGUAUUUUCUAUCUCCAUUUUCUAACCUUUUAACAACACAAUACAUGACAAAGACAGUACACCAUAGGACAAAGGCAAAAUAAUCCGCCUUUUUAACGUUUUUCAGCUUCUGUUUUUGUUUGUUUUGUACUGAUUUUGAACCAGGACAAAUUUAAUUGCCUUAUUUGAAUUCAUUAUAAGGACCGUCCUUUCAGUCCAUUCAGUCCAACGUCAGAAGAAUCUAAGAAUCCUUUUUCGUCUUUUUUUAAAUGUCUGUUAAACAUGAGAGCUUAAUACUGGAUGAGUGUAUUUAGACCCUUUUCUGCCCUUUUCACAGGUUUAAACUCAGAUGCUUUUCUUUCGGACUGUUUCUUAUACACACACACAUACAUAUAUAUAUAUAUAUAUAUAGAUAUAUAUAUAUAUAUACAUAUAUAUAUGCUCUCCCCUAACUUCAGAAGGAAAGUCAUUUUGAAGAGACUAUCGCUUUUAUCUUGGAUUUCUCUUGAUAUUUCGUGACCAAAGGCAGCACUCUCCUUUUUCUGUAUUUCUGCAUAAGAAAAUAACAACAACUAGAAAAGUAGGGAAUCAAACCUGCAACCUUCAAGUCUAAGGGCGACUCACUCUACCACUGAGCUACCACCAUCGUCCGUUCAACUGCAAAUCUUUAUUCUCCCCACUGGGACCACUUCAUUUUGAACAGCACUCAAAAAAACAACAAUACAAGACACAAGGGAUCAGUGUAGAAUCUGCAUUUACUGGCCACUUUAUUAGGGACGGAUGAGCCAGUCCCCAUAACAGCAACGUGAGCAUCGGAACGCGAUUGAACGGUGAUUUAAGCGGCUUUGAACGUGGCACGGUUAUAAGAGCUGGUGACAGGCUGGUGUGAUUAUUUCAGGAACCGCUGAUCCACACAGAUUUUCACACACAACCAUCUCCAAAAAAAGAGAAAAUAUCUAAUGAGCAGCAGCUCUCCGGGGCGAAAGUGCCUUGUUGAUGCCAGAUUGGAAAUAAAAAGAAAGGAAGAAAUAACGGUGACUCAAAUAUCCGCUCGUCACAACUACAAUCUUGUCUUGAAGCAGAUGAAAACCACAUCUCCUGCCCCUUUAUUAGGUGUCCUGUGUGCCUAAUAAAGUGACCAGGGAGCGUAUAAGCACAGAAGUGAUCACAGUAUGAGCUAAACGCUUCCUAUCAUGGCGAGAAAAGAAAGCACACGUGUACCAUAAGUCAUAUAUUUGUUUAUUUUGCGUUCUCAACAUUGUCACAGUUGAAGUUUUACAAUAACUGGGGUCUUUACUGACUCACUACUCACUGUACAAACAGAAUGCACAUAUAAAUGAGGCCAUUCUUGACUUUUUCCUUUUUGUUUUUAAAAAUGUGUCUCACGCCACACUGAACAGCUCGGAUGUGUGUGUGUGUGUGUGUGUGUACGUUUCACUGCGUGUACAGUAUAUGUGUGUGUGUGUGUGCGUGAGAGAGAGUUUGUGUGACGGUGGGUUUUUUGCAUGUAUGAAAACAGAGGUGAGUGGAAAUGGCAGCGGACUUUCUAACAGUCUUGUGUUUUUUUGUUUUUUAUUCUACAACAAAUGUCAGUUCAUGACAAUCGAUAUGUUCGCGUAUCACCCCACACGUCCAUCUAUGAGGCGACGUAUAUACAUCCUGAUGUUGACUGCCGAUAUCACAAUAGAGAGCACUGAUCGUAUACACAGUAUGUACAGCUCCUUCAAAACCCCCCCUUGGUCCCUUUACAGCUUCCUUCCUUCCUUCCUUCCUUACACACAUUUUGAUCAGUCCACACAUGGAAAUCCCGUAUUUACACGAUGAAAGCCCUCAGCGACAAGAAGUGCAACGUUCUCCACGUUUUUUUGUUUUUUUUUGUAAUUUACACGAUGGCUUCUGUGGGUGAAAUGCAUGCUGAGCUUCGACGACAACGACCAGCCUAACAUGGAACAACAAGGACGACACGUCAACAACAAGGAAGUGACAAAAAAAAAACAACAACAACAAAACAAAAAUCUAAAUUUACAGGCUGAUUUUUUUUCUGUUUUCCUUCUUCUUCUCUUUUUUUUUUCCUCUUCAAUCAGCUCACAGUGAAAAGGACACGUGAUGCAUCAGAUCCAUGCAGUGCAUUGUUGGGGUACUAAAAAUAGACGUUGGAAGCACUACAACACACACACACACACACACACACA